rnacentral:rRNA from 1 species
CCAAUAGACGUACCCGGGUAGUCCUAGCCAUCAACGAUGGAUACUGGAUAUUCCUGCACUCAUGUGGGAGUGUCGAAGCCAACGCGUUAAGUAUCCCGCCUGGGGAGUACGGUCGCAAGAUUGAAACUCAAAGGAAUUGACGGGGGCCCGCACAAGCGGUGGAGCAUGUGGUUUAAUUCGACGCAACGCGAAGAACCUUACCUGGGCUUGAACUGUCGGUAUAGGGACCCGAAAGGGCGACGAUCCCGGGCAACCGGGAAGCCGAUAGAGGUGCUGCAUGGCUGUCGUCAGCUCGUGUCGUGAGAUGUUGGGUUAAGUCCCGCAACGAGCGCAACCCUUGUCUUUAGUUGCCAGCGAGUCAUGUCGGGCACUCUAAGGAGACUGCCUCGGAUAACGAGGAGGAAGGUGGGGAUGACGUCAAGUCAGCAUGGCCUUUAUGUCCAGGGCUACACACGUGCUACAAUGGGCGGCACAGAAAGGACGCGAGACCGCGAGGUCAACGCCAACCCUUAAAACCGUUCUCAGUUCGGAUUGC